rnacentral:snRNA from 1 species
AUGCCUUAAACUGAUGAGUAAGGAAAAUAACGAUGCGGGGUGACGCCCGCAUCCUCGUUCAACAUACGAGAGGAAUUUUUGAAGGGGCAUAGGUCUGUCUGUUUAAGUGACUCGCCUACUUCGUGAGAUGCUUUGCAGAACAAGGACCUUCCCC